GUCAGACACACCUGAGAGAGCAGCUGAGGCCAGCCUUCGUUUGGUGCUUGAUUGGAAUCUUUAUGGUGGUGAGGGUCCAAAGCUUGGAGUGAUUGUUUAAGCACAUCAGCUACAGCACAGAUUCCAUUCACCUGCCUGUCUUCAGCUGGGGGAGGGGAACGUGCUUCUAAGUCAAGCAAG